rnacentral:tRNA from 1 species
GGUUGUGGCUCAACGGUAGAGCACUUGCCUCACACGUGGGAGGCCCUGGGUUUGAUCCUCAGCACCA